rnacentral:rRNA from 1 species
UACAGAGGGGGCAAGCGUUGUUCGGAAUUACUGGGCGUAAAGGGCGCGUAGGCGGCCUGUUAAGUCGAACGUGAAAUCCCCGGGCUCAACCCGGGAACUGCGUCCGAUACUGGCAGGCUUGAAUCCGGGAGAGGGAUGCGGAAUUCCAGGUGUAGCGGUGAAAUGCGUAGAUAUCUGGAGGAAUACCGGUGGCGAAGGCGGCGUUCUGGACUGCAACUGACACUGAUGAACGAAAGCCAGGGGAGCAAACGGG